CACUUCGCCGCUGCCUUGAAGGUGCCACCAUUGUCUGAGUAUAUUAGCUUCGGUCUUCCGCGACGGGCGACAAAUCGUUUAAGACUGAUGAUGAACUCUUCCGUGUUUAGGGAUGGUAGUAGGUCUAGGAACACUCCUCGUGCCAAACUGCAUCCGUAUAGUGCAAGAUAGGAUUUCUUCUCUACUUUCGACUUGGUUCGGUACAUUAUCGGGCCUGCAAAAUCGACUCCAAUCACUUCGUAAGGUGUAUUACCACUGGUUCUGGUUCUCGGUAAGUUGCCGGGCGGUGGUGACUGGAAUGCCUUGGUGCGGAAUCUCUUGCAUCCCCAACACUUCCCUCGUACUUUCUUCACAAGGCGUCGAAGUCGUGGGACCCAGUACAGUUCCCUAAUCCUCGCCAUGGUGAGUCCAACUCCCCCAUGCAAUGUCGCGAGAUGUGCUUGAUGAACCAACUUGCUUGUGAGAGGAUGAUCAUCUGGCAAGUAAAUAGGAUAUUCACCUUCGAGGCGUCCUCGACAUUCUAAGAUUUGUUGCUGGUUAAUCUGCAGGUUUAACUGGAGUUUGUCUUUCUCGAAUUUAGUUGUGGUCUGUGCAUCACGCUGAACUCGUUUGAUCCACCAGGUCUUGUGGUUCUCUAUUUCGGUUGUUGUAAGUGGACCCGAUUCUCUGGUUGCCAACGUUGCCUUGCAGUUGUGAAUGAAUCGUUGUACCCACGCCCCGAUUCGCAAGACCUUUCAAAGCUCAUGUUUAGAUAACAGCUCGUCGAAUGUGUCCUGGACGUUUACGGCCGCCGCGAAGAUAUCUUUAGUGAUCUUGGCUUCAGCAUUGCUACUGGCACUAGAUAUGAGUGUUAUGUUCGGUGGCCACUUAUCUGGGUCUGCCAGCCACUGAAGUCCAUACCUCCAAAGUGGGGCGUCCACCACGCUCCCUCCACGGCUUCCCAAGUCAGCGGGAUUCUCUGCGGUAGGUACAUGGUGCCAGGUGAUACUUGAGUGUUGACGGAUCUUGUUCACUCGGUUGGCAACAAACUGCUUGUACUCGCCCGUACCAAGGAUCCAGAACAACGCGACUGUACUGUCCAGCCAACAAUGGAGGCCUGCUGUAAUGAUGGGUUGAAUUGCUUGUUGAACAUUGGUGAUCAAGUUAGUGGCCAUGUGGCCGGCUACCAGUUCUAAUCUCGGGAUUGUUAGUCCACGUUUGGCUAAACGUGACUUGGCUGUCACGAUAUUCUGUGCUACUCCAUCGUCUUGCUUCACCACGGCAUAAACCACUGCGCUAACGCCUUUUCCACUUGCAUCACCAAAAGCGUGUAAUGUCAGUUCUUGAAUCGGUUGUUGAUGGGGUACAAUUGAUCUUGGUAUUGUUACGGACGCUGGCAAGUUGUUGUACCAUUUGUUCCACAAUUUUUGCAAUUGUUCAGGUAGUUCAGUGUCCCAUGCAAGUUUCUCAUCACUGAUGUCGCGGAAAAUCAGCUUCCCAGAUAAUGUUGUUGGGGAAACCAAACCGAGGGGGUCAUACACUUUGGCUAGGGUAGACAAGACUCCUCGUUUAGUCGGCUCCGUCUCCACCUGAGGGAAUUCAAUUCUCAGGGUGUCAUUCUCUUUGUCCCAGGGAAGGCCCAGUAACUUAGUUUCUGAUGAUGUAGUUCCCAGCUGCUGUUUGGCAUAUGACAGUUCAUCAUGUCCGUCUUUCGCGUCAUUGUCCAACUCUAACUCGCUUUCAUUGCUGUGCCACUUGUGCAGGUUGAACUUAGCAUCUUGGAAGAUCUCCUUUGCCUUCGACUUCUUGAUUUGGGCUUCUUGGACCGUUGCUCCCCCCGAUAGUAAGUCAUCAACAUAUAGACUUUUACAUAUUUCCUCUACGAACUCUGGGUACCGAUAUUCCCAUAAUGUGAGAUGGUGAUUGAUGACCCCACCCAACAGGAAUGGAGAGGAGGUCAACCCAAAUAGGGCUCGAGUAAAACGGUAAACCUCUAUGUUUGAUUGACCAGGAGGUUUCCAGUGGAAUCUAAGAGCGUCGCGCUCUGCUUCCCGUAUUCGGACCUGUAGAAAUGCUUUCUGUAGAUCCCCAGUAAUCGCAACUGGGUGAAUUCGGUUUCUCACAAGUACUGUCCAUAGCAAGUUCUGUAGAGCUUUAUGUGGUAGGUAAAAUUCGUUACCAACAACUACUGCAGGGGCUACCUCAACCACUCCCUGUUCGAUCUGUUCUUGAAUAACAUUGUCAUAUGCUGUAUAAUUGUUGUCCCGUUCUAACUUCUUUACCAGCUGCUGAAGCCUUCGGAUACUUCCGGUCUUG
rnacentral:lncRNA from 1 species